rnacentral:rRNA from 1 species
GAUGAACGCUGGCGGCGUGCCUAAUACAUGCAAGUCGAGCGAACGGACGAGAAGCUUGCUUUUCUGAUGUUAGCGGCGGACGGGUGAGUAGCACGUGGAUAACCUACCUAUAAGACUGGGAUAACUUCGGGAAACCGGAGCUAAUACCGGAUAAUAUUUUGAACCGCAUGGUUCAAAAGUGAAAGACGGUCUUGCUGUCACUUAUAGAUGGAUCCGCGCUGCAUUAGCUAGUUGGUAAGGUAACGGCUUACCAAGGCAACGAUGCAUAGCCGACCUGAGAGGGUGAUCGGCCACACUGGAACUGAGACACGGUCCAGACUCCUACGGGAGGCAGCAGUAGGGAAUCUUCCGCAAUGGGCGAAAGCCUGACGGAGCAACGCCGCGUGAGUGAUGAAGGUCUUCGGAUCGUAAAACUCUGUUAUUAGGGAAGAACAUAUGUGUAAGUAACUGUGCACAUCUUGACGGUACCUAAUCAGAAAGCCACGGCUAACUACGUGCCAGCAGCCGCGGUAAUACGUAGGUGGCAAGCGUUAUCCGGAAUUAUUGGGCGUAAAGCGCGCGUAGGCGGUUUUUUAAGUCUGAUGUGAAAGCCCACGGCUCAACCGUGGAGGGUCAUUGGAAACUGGAAAACUUGAGUGCAGAAGAGGAAAGUGGAAUUCCAUGUGUAGCGGUGAAAUGCGCAGAGAUAUGGAGGAACACCAGUGGCGAAGGCGACUUUCUGGUCUGUAACUGACGCUGAUGUGCGAAAGCGUGGGGAUCAAACAGGAUUAGAUACCCUGGUAGUCCACGCCGUAAACGAUGAGUGCUAAGUGUUAGGGGGUUUCCGCCCCUUAGUGCUGCAGCUAACGCAUUAAGCACUCCGCCUGGGGAGUACGACCGCAAGGUUGAAACUCAAAGGAAUUGACGGGGACCCGCACAAGCGGUGGAGCAUGUGGUUUAAUUCGAAGCAACGCGAAGAACCUUACCAAAUCCUGACAUCCUUUGACAACUCUAGAGAUAGAGCCUUCCCCUUCGGGGGACAAAGUGACAGGUGGUGCAUGGUUGUCGUCAGCUCGUGUCGUGAGAUGUUGGGUUAAGUCCCGCAACGAGCGCAACCCUUAAGCUUAGUUGCCAUCAUUAAGUUGGGCACUCUAAGUUGACUGCCGGUGACAAACCGGAGGAAGGUGGGGAUAACGUCAAAUCAUCAUGCCCCUUAUGAUUUGGGCUACACACGUGCUACAAUGGACAAUACAAAGGGCAGCGAAACCGCGAGGUCAAGCAAAUCCCAUAAAGUUGUUCUCAGUUCGGAUUGUAGUCUGCAACUCGACUACAUGAAGCUGGAAUCGCUAGUAAUCGUAGAUCAGCAUGCUACGGUGAAUACGUUCCCGGGUCU